GACGAACGCUGGCGGCGUGCUUAACACAUGCAAGUCGAACGGAAAGGCCCUGCUUGCAGGGUACUCGAGUGGCGAACGGGUGAGUAACACGUGGGUGAUCUGCCCUGCACUUCGGGAUAAGCCUGGGAAACUCGGUCUAAUACCGGAUAGGAGCCAUUUUUAGUGUGAUGGUUGGAAAGUUUUUUCGGUGUAGGAUGAGCUCGCGGCCUAUCAGCUUGUUGGUGGGGUAAUGGCCUACCAAGGCGGCGACGGGGAGCCGGCCUGAGGGGGUGGACGGCCACAAUGGGACUGAGAAAAGGCCCAGCCUCCUACGGGGGGAAGCAGUGGGGAAUAUUGCACAAUGGGGGGGAGCCUGAUGCAGCGACGCCGCGUGGGGGAUGACGGCCUUCGGGUUGUAAAAUCCUUUCGCUAGGGACGAAGCUUUUUGUGACGGUACCUAGAUAAGAAGCACCGGCUAAAUACGUG
rnacentral:rRNA from 1 species